rnacentral:rRNA from 1 species
GAUGAACGCUGGCGGCGUGCCUAAUACAUGCAAGUCGAGCGAACAGACGAGGAGCUUGCUCCUCUGACGUUAGCGGCGGACGGGUGAGUAACACGUGGAUAACCUACCUAUAAGACUGGGAUAACUUCGGGAAACCGGAGCUAAUACCGGAUAAUAUAUUGAACCGCAUGGUUCAAUAGUGAAAGACGGUUUUGCUGUCACUUAUAGAUGGAUCCGCGCCGCAUUAGCUAGUUGGUAAGGUAACGGCUUACCAAGGCAACGAUGCGUCGCCGACCUGAGAGGGGGAUCGGCCACACUGGAACUGAGACACGGUCCAGACUCCUACGGGAGGCAGCGGUAGGGAAUCUUCCGCAAUGGGCGAAAGCUUGACGGAGCAACGCCGCGUGAGUGAGGAAGGUCUUCGAAUCGUAAAACUCUGUUAUUAGGGAAGAACAAAUGUGUAAGUAACUAUGCACGUCUGGACGGUACCAAAUCAGAAAGCAACGGCUAACUACGU